rnacentral:misc_RNA from 1 species
GGGGGCUAGGGUCAUGGUUACCAAGCUUCGGAAAAAAGGGAAAUCAAGAACCUUGCCAAUUUUAACAACAGAUCACACUUUCUACAAUGUCAAAGAGCUGUUUCAAUGAUGACGACAAGUAUUGGGAAUCCUUUUUCUGGUUCACGAAUUAACCCGAUGAGAGGCUUCUCCUCUGGUUCAGGUCUUCCCCCACAUCAAGAGG